AUACAGCUGACGAGUCCCAAAUAGGACGAAACGUGCAUCCUGGAU
rnacentral:hammerhead_ribozyme from 1 species